rnacentral:rRNA from 1 species
ACCCUUUAAUGUUUGAUGUUCUAACGUGGACCCGUGAUCCGGGUUGCGGACAGUGUCUGGUGGGUAGUUUGACUGGGGCGGUCUCCUCCUAAAGAGUAACGGAGGAGCACGAAGGUUGGCUAAUCCUGGUCGGACAUCAGGAGGUUAGUGCAAUGGCAUAAGCCAGCUUGACUGCGAGCGUGACGGCGCGAGCAGGUGCGAAAGCAGGUCAUAGUGAUCCGGUGGUUCUGAAUGGAAGGGCCAUCGCUCAACGGAUAAAAGGUACUCCGGGGAUAACAGGCUGAUACCGCCCAAGAGUUCAUAUCGACGGCGGUGUUUGGCACCUCGAUGUCGGCUCAUCACAUCCUGGGGCUGAAGUAGGUCCCAAGGGUAUGGCUGUUCGCCAUUUAAAGUGGUACGCGAGCUGGGUUUAGAACGUCGUGAGACAGUUCGGUCCCUAUCUGCCGUGGGCGCUGGAGAACUGAGGGGGGCUGCUCCUAGUACGAGAGGACCGGAGUGGACGCAUCACUGGUGUUCGGGUUGUCAUGCCAAUGGCACUGCCCGGUAGCUAAAUGCGGAAGAGAUAAGUGCUGAAAGCAUCUAAGCACGAAACUUGCCCCGAGAUGAGUUCUCCCUGAGACUUAAAGUCUCCUGAAGGAACGUUG